GUUUCUUUUCAUUGACACAUAUGGGAGAAAUGAAUUCCAAGGCUUUCCUCAUUCUAUUUAUGUUCUUGGCUUCUAGUCUUCUGAUCUCAGCUAGGAUUGCACCAGAAGACAUAAAGGACAGGUUUAAAAACAAUGUGAAUGCACUGAUGGAUGAAAGCAAAUUUUAUGGACACGACGACGAUCCUAAUGUCGACUAUGGCCCAAGGUGUUCAGAUUAUGAAUGUUGUUAUGGUUGCUGUGCGUUGGGCGCUCGAGGCUGUAGAAGGUGCUGCAGUAGUUAGGGUGUUAAAUUUGAAAUCCCAAACACCAAAUUUGGCCCCCCAUUUUAAUGUAGUAAUUUUCUUAAAAACCCGGAUGAUAUCUUCAAUAUACCGAUUAUAAAACUCGGAAUGUAUUUUAUUUUAGUAUCUAAGAUUUAAAACUCGGAAUAUACCGAUUUUAAAUCAGGUUUGUGUAAUUUGUUGAUGCUUUAAAAUUUUGAAAUUGUUAACCAACGCUGGUUGGGGAAUAAAA